GGAAGAGUGGCCGAGUGGUUUAAGGCAACGGUCUUGAAAACCGUCGAAGGUGCAAGCCUUCCGUGGGUUCGAAUCCCACCUCUUCCGCCA
rnacentral:tRNA from 1 species